UGAUGACUAAUCAUGUGAUAUAUACGUAUGAUAUAUAAACCGGAAGUGAUAUCCUAUUUUCUACGAAUUUUAGAACUUACCUUAAUUAUCACUUUCGUUCAUACAUUUAUACGUUAGUUUACUCUAAAAAGGUAUAUACUCAUUAUCAAUUAUACAUGAUGCAUUAAAAUGCAUAAAACAUUUAAAAUAAAUGCAUACCCGUAAACAUAGAUCUACAUUAUUGUAUGUAGUCUAAAGGAUAUUAUAAAUAAGCUAUGAGUUGUAAUACAAUGUUGGUACACUUUAUUUUUAUAAUCGUAUAAUAUUGUACAAAUUAUUACAGUAAACUAUAUAUUUCUGUAAUUACGUCUAUGAAUGUUUCUCUGUUUUACCAACAUAGUUUGCCAUAAAAGUGGCUGACAAGUGGUAGUUCAAUUAAAUAAUAUAACCAUACA